CAGCCGUAAACUAUGCGCGUUAGGUGUAUCGGUGACCACGAGUUACCGAGGUGCCGAAGGGAAACCGUGAAACGUGCCGCCUGGGAAGUACGGUCGCAAGGCUGAAACUUAAAGGAAUUGGCGGGGGGAGGCACCACAACAGGUGGAGCCUGCGGUUUAAUUGGACUCAACGCCGGGAAGCUCACCGGAUAGGACAGCAGAAUUGAUUGCCGGGCUGAAGACCCUGCAUGACUAGCUGAGAGGAGGUGGCAUGGCGUAGACGUCU
rnacentral:rRNA from 1 species